UUGGAGGGCAAGUCUGGUGCCAGCAGCCGCGGUAAUUCCAGCUCCAAUAGCGUAUAUUAAAGUUGUUGCAGUUAAAAAGCUCGUAGUUGAAUUUCGGGAUUAGUACGUUGGUCGUGCCUUAGGUACGUACUGGUGUUACUGGUUUCUACCUUCUGACGAACCAUCAUGUCAUUAAUUUGGUGUGGUGGGGAAUCAGGACUGUUACUUUGAAAAAAUUAGAGUGUUUAAAGCAGGCUCGCGCUUGAAUACAUUAGCAUGGAAUAAUGAAAUAGGACGUUGAUCCUAUUUUGUUGGUUUCUAGGAUUGACGUAAUGAUUAAUAGGGAUAGUUGGGGGCAUUAGUAUUCAAUUGUCAGAGGUGAAAUUCUUGGAUUUAUUGAAGACUAACUACUGCGAAAGCAUUCGCCAAGGAUGUUUUCAUUAAUCAAGAACGAAAGUUAGGGGAUCGAAGACGAUCAGAUACCGUCGUAGUCUUAACCAUAAACUAUGCCGACUAGGGAUCGGAUGAUGUUAAUUUUUUAAUGACUCAUUCGGCGCCUUACGGGAAAC
rnacentral:rRNA from 1 species